UGCAGGAGUUGAAGGCUAACAAGGAAGAAUUGUGAGUAGAAAAGUUCAAGGACAAAGAGGAAGUAGAGGACUUAACUCAGGAAAUGGCUGAGCUACGGUAUCAAACUCUCAUCCCUAGACCUCAAGCUUCAUCUCUCCAACUCAAUUGGUAGGAAUGAACCUUUGGUGGAUGGAUGGAAGUGGUCAAGGCCUAAUGGAGGGCAUGCAGGAAUAACAUCAGCAUUGAAGACAUAAAAGAUUUAAACAAAAUAAGAAAGGGAUUUCGAUGCUGAGCAAUCUGCAAGGGUGAUUGAUGCAUACUGUAUGCUUAGCAAGCCUUUGACUACUAAUUAUAUUGUCUUCUUGCGGAGGGAGAAAACAUUCAGUCAAGACAGAAGAAGAAGCGACAUUAUUUAGAAAUUGGCCGGUCUUCUUGCGGAAGGAAAACGGAUCGGCCAAGGCGGAAGAAGAAGGGGAGGCAGUUGGAAGUUGGCUGGUGACUCUUCAAAGGCUAGUAAAAAUUAGAAUCUCCAAUAUAUGAUUAUUUUGCGCACCCCUGAUUUCAAAGUCCAAAACUUUCCCACACCCAACCGUUGAGGAUUCUAUUCUUCUCUCUUUCCUUUUUCAAUCAAAUUAUCUAUUUCAUGUCUAAAUCUUUGUGAUUGUUUUAGUGACUAAAAAAGAAUAAGAAGUAAAAGAAGAAGAAAUAGUCUUGCAGGAAGGAAAAAUUAUUAUUACACUUAUUAUUUAAUGAUAUUUUUUAAGUUUGGGAGUGCCAUAUUUGUGAUUUUUAAUUCAGUUGACAAGUUACAUUGCAUUUAUUAUGUCAUUGUGGUUGCUCACCCUGAAACACUUAUGAAGUAUGUUAUUUUAUCCAUAGACCCUUUUUUAUAAAAUCAAUCUUCCUUUUUUUUGUGUUUUUUUAAAAGAUCAGCUCAUAAAUAAUUUUCAUUAAUUAUUUAUCUUUUGUGUCAAAUAGAUACAUUCCAAUCAAAGAGAUUCUAAUUUAAUAUGAUGGUCUCAAGAGGGAAGAUGACACCGUUCUCUUUUGAAGAUGAUGCUGUUUCAGAAUCCACACUCCCUCUGCAUCAACUCCAACUUUUGAGAUUUCUACAUUGGAGGUACCUACUACUACUAUUACACCUACUAAAUUGAGACAUUGGGAAAUUAAUCUAUUACAUGAAAUUUUUUAAUUAGUUUCCAGUGGUUUUGAAGGUGUGUUUUAUGCAAAAAGAAUUUAAAAUGACUUAUAAGAACUCCUUCAUUUGUUGUGCAUUUAUUUGACUUUUGAGUUCUUUUAAUAGUCUAAAUUAUCAAUGAAAAUUGUUCUAUAAUAGCAUUUUUCUUAUAGUGACUACUAAUUUUAUUAUUGUUGUCAUUUUCUUUUGUCGGAUUGUUUCCUUCAAAGUCAAAGCUCCAUGCCUCCUUGCAUUCUUUCUUUUUUCAGGGGAUGACGAUAAGAUUAAGCCUACAUAUAAAGACAUAAAUGUAGUUGUGUUUAUAGAGUUUGUUUAAGGAUUCGGUGGACAAAUUUGAAAAUAUUAAAACUCAAAGCUCAUUUAAAAGGGAUGUUUUCUUGCUAUGUUUUCGAAUCAAAUAUAUCAUUGAUUUUUUC